GUGGGAGAGUAGGUCACCGCCGGAC
rnacentral:rRNA from 1 species